rnacentral:miRNA from 1 species
AUGAGAUUGGGAGGGAAGAUGAGAGGGGAGGAUGGGAGGGAGGAGUAACGAAAGUGAAAACAAACACUAAAAACUGAAAUCUAUUUGAAAUUGUUUUCACCUUCAAGUUUUUGUUUUCACUUUUGUUACUCCUCCCUUCCAUCCUCCCCUCUCAUCCUCUCUCUCUCUCUCU